AGCAGCCGCGGUAAUUCCAGCUCCAAUAGCGUAUAUUAAAGUUGUUGCAGUUAAAAAGCUCGUAGUUGAAUUUCGGGAUUAGUACGCUGGUCGUGCCUUCGGUAUGUACUGGUGUUACUGAUUCCUACCUUCUGACGAAUCGUCAUGUCAUUAAUUUGGUGUGGCGGGGAAUCAGGACUGUUACUUUGAAAAAUUAGAGUGUUUAAAGCAGGCUCGCGCUUGAAUACAUUAGCAUGGAAUAAUGAAAUAGGACGUUUGAUCCUAUUUUGUUGGUUUCUAGGAUUGACGUGAUGAUUAAUAGGGAUAGUUGGGGGCAUUAGUAUUCAAUUGUCAGAGGUGAAAUUCUUGGAUUUAUUGAAGACUAACUACUGCGAAAGCAUUUGCCAAGGAUGUUUUCAUUAAUCAAGAACGAAAGUUAGGGGAUCGAAGACGAUCAGAUACCGUCGCAGUCUUAACCAUAAACUAUGCCGACUAGGGAUCGGAUGAUGUUAAUUUUUAAUGUACUCU
rnacentral:rRNA from 1 species